rnacentral:lncRNA from 1 species
AGAGUCAGGCGGAGUCUCUCACGUGUUAUUCAUGUAUACAUGAAGGCUGCUCCAAAGUAUGUGGAAAAUUGUGAGACAGACAAAUUAACUAUUGGCGUCAAAGCAGCUGGGAAUCUUGGCCAAGUGUCUGUUGACUGUGUCUUAUGGGGAUAGUAGGAGUAAAGCGAACAGGCCCCGAGAUUAAGGCUUAGGGAGGCAGAGUGGAUUCGCUCCAGACCCCGAGCAACAAGAUAGAGUCUUAUGGGGGUAGUUAAGGCGUAAAUGCGAAAAGGUCUCGAGCUUAAUGCUUAGGGGGGCUGAGGAGUAUCGCUAACAGAUCCCGAGAACAGUGAUCAGCAGAGCAGAUCUGUUGUUGUGGGUGAACAAGAUGCCAGGACUUUCAGUUCUAGGGGUAUAGAGUUCACGGGCGCGCGAGUUGAGAAGCCGGCAGCCAAGCCCUGGCAGAUGUGUAAAAAAGAUUAACCUGAUGAGGUUGGACAGACCUCAGAGAUACUGCUCUGCGGAGCCCGGGGAGGUCUGAAAAGGCGAGGAACCUGGACAGACCACCCCAUGUUAAGUUCUGUAAUCUGGGGCUGACCUUUUACUGAGCUCGAAAGGCAGAAACCCUGCAGGUUGCAGACUUAUCUAAUAUAAAUAACGUGGAGAAAUCCACUAGGAAUUAUGGAACAGAUUUAGAUGUGGUUGACUGGACUGUACACGAAAGUUCAAUCACACUUGCUGGGAAAUCCCUCUAAAAAUCAGGUCUGUCGCUAAUUAUGGGCACAUUUUAACGUAUAUCCACAAAAAACUUAUAGAUGAAACGAACGCAUUUCUCAUAAUAAGUAACGGGAAAUAAAGAAAAACAAACAAAAAACUGCAAUCUGAGGACAGAGGUUAAUCAUACGGAACAUUGGACAUUGGAGGUAUUGAAAAUUUAUAAGGUAGGAGUUGUUUGAUCCACAAUUUCCUUCCAAAUUGACACCACGAAAAGCACGGAUGGUCAACGUGUUAUCUUUAUGAGUCAGCCAACUAAAUAGAAUACCUUCAAAAAAUCACCAAAAAGACUAAACAAAAGUAUAUUUGACGAAUAAAAUAGAAACACCCAAAAAGUGUGUGUGUGAGGACCGGUCCGUGUGAGCGUGAUCACUCUUUUCCUUUCUCUCCCUCUCCUCGCACUCCACUGUUAAGUGUGUGGCUGAGGGUGUGUGUGUGUUGUGUGUGUGCAUGGUGGAGAAAGCCCAUAACACAUUGAGAUAUAUGUUUGAUUGCAAAUACAUUGACAUGCAUAUAUCCUGCAUUGCACAAGCUGAACAUAAUCGGCUGCAAACUAAUAUGUAAAUAAUGGAAAAUGUUUAACAAGGUGGUUGCAGGAAUCCUAUAAGCAAGCUAAGAUUAACUGCGUUGUCACGGCUCUGUAUAUGGUGCCUAAAGUUGGGAGAAUUGUGACACAAAACAGACUGUUGGUGGGGUUGGACUUUUUGGAUUGUGUGCGUAAGGUUGUUGGUGAAGCAGAAUUUGGUGUUGGUACAGUAGUCUGAGAAAGGUUGAGCAAAGACGCAGUUAGAGUGUGUAAGCUGAGGCAGGGGUAAAAGUUGUGUGGUAGGGUGUGGCACAGACAGAGAGCAGGAGAAGUUGACAGUCCGAGAGUCAGACUGAGACUGAGAGAAGUAGGAAGUAAAAGGGGAAGUGAGGUCAAUUCCGCUCUCACUCAGCCCCGAACGAGCCCCCACCUUUGCGUGAGCCAAAAACAAAGCUCUCUCUCUCCCCCACUACUACUCUCAUUCAGUGAGGAGCCCCCCCACAUUUUUUGGGAUACAAAACAUACAGCCCUCACUCGGUGAGGAGCCCCCACCUUCGUGAGAGCUCCCCCGCCCUUCUCUCCUCUAAAAGUUCUGAGACCUGGCAAGCCACUUUUGUUUUUUUUUUCUUCCUUUCCCUCGGCAAGCUGAAUAUUAAAGCUAUCGUACCUGCAGUACAAAUAUAUAAACAUUUUGUGCAUUUUAAAACACUCAUAGCAUUAUUUUACAAAUAUAUAAACAUUGGGUAAACCUGUGACAGAAUUCGUUUCGGGGGACAAGGGACCAUGGUUCUGCGAACUUCACAUGGGAUAAGGACACUCUGUGGCCACAAAAAGAAAAAGGUAGGAGAUUUCCUAAAAUUUGGUUGAGAGUUCUUUUCCCUGUGAGGUGGUGCGGACUACUGCUCUCUGUCCUCUUCGAAUCAAAGAACCUAGAAUAGAAAUAAGAGGAGACAGUGGGAAUGAAGACAGUCUGAGAAAACUGCAUGCAUGCAGUCAGCUGAUCAAAGUGUGCUAAAUUUGGGAGAGGAAGCCAACUUAAAUUGGAUAUAUAUCAGCUGAAUUAAGAGAAACUGCAGUUGGUUGUGUCAGACCGCCUCACGCUGCUACAUACGUGAGACUAUGUGAAGAUAGUAGACUGGGUGAAGAGCACUUCGUCUCCUUCAAAGUGUGAGACCGCCUCACGCUGCUAUAAGUGUGAGAUUGUCAUAUGUGAAGCUAUAGGCUGGGUGCAGAAAAGCACUGGCCAGUAGCUUGGGGAGACAGCCGGGCCCGGGUUGUGAUGUGUUUUUUUUUAGGCUGAAUGCCUGGAGAUAAAAAGGUCCUGGGUAAUUUUUGGGAUAACAAGGGGAGCGGCAGACACGAGUGUGUCUGUCCAUUGUUGAACUGUGAGUUUAAGACCAUCUUUCAUGAGCUCUGAAAGGUGGCAGCCGAUGGACGAGCAGAUUCAUCUCGUAAUACAUACGUGGAUUUUCUUUCUGGAAAACUCCGCUAGAAAGGAGGAUUUGUCAUGCAGAGUUCCGCUGAGGCUUAAGAAAAAGCCAAAAGGAGAACGAAAGUGGCAUAUUAAAAUAGAAGACUGCUGACUGACUCCAGUGACUGACUUUGACUUCAAACACGUGUGAAAGGGUAUACCAUUGUGUGAUGAAAAAGUGAAGUGUGUGGGUUGAUUGGAUGUUUGUGUGUGUCUGUUUUGUUCUGUGUCAACUAAGUUCUCUGGCAGUGUUCACAGCCAGACUCUGCAUCUGUGUGUGUGUUAUGUUAGUCAAAGAUUGCUGUGUUUUCCUCACUUGUGUUUAUUUCAUAGUUGUUUAUGUGAAUACUGUGCUCAUUGCGGUCAUGUUAUCAGUUGAGACAUAGAAGGUUAAAUACUCCUGGGAAAGAGUUUCUGUUCCCAGUACCAUGAUGAACACUCCUGAUAUGAAGGUUUUAGCUUAUGCUUAGAUAUUAUGAUGGUUUUUUGUUGUGAACACGUCUUAUGCUCCUUAACAAAUUUUCUGUGUUAAAGUUGCUGAAAUAAUGUUUGUAAAAGUAUAAAAGAUACAAAAAGGGGAAAAAGAAAUGAGGUACCACAAGUGCAAAACU